UUCUUUAAAAAAAUUUUGCCUUGGGGUAUGGGAGAAAGAGAAAGAGAGGAAGAGAGAGAGAGAGAGAUCAGUUGAUGUAAUGAACAGUUCAUUGUGAGCAUGAUUUCAUUUCGUUCCUUUGUCCUCCUUCUAUGAGUAAGAGAGUGGGAAAAGUCAAAACGCAGCUCCAUGGAGAUAACGUCUCAUGCGGUUCCAGGUGUGGAACGGGGUCCAUUUGACCUAGAAGCUUUGGCAGAGGGAGCAGACACAGUAUUCACUAUGUUGAUUUCAUCAUCAAGCAACUGGCAAUCGGUUUUACAUGCUAAAUCACCCAUUUCUACUUUCUGCUUUCACUUUUUUUGUUCCUUUUUGCAGUCACACUUUUCACUGACUUGGUAUGACCUUGACUGAGAAGCUCAUUUUACUACUGAUGAACAAUGCUGAUGAUUCUGAUGUUUUUUAAAAGUUAGUAUUUUGAUUUAAGAAUAAAUUAACAAAGGGUAGUUUCAUACUAUUUUUGCAUAUUGUGUCAAAGUUUUGGUGCAAUAUAAUUUUCACCUGAAAUGUUAUUAGAUAAAUUUGGGUUCAAUCACUUAAGUGAAAAUUAGUCACAGGCUUGUUAUAGGGAACACUGUGUUAAACAAAAAAAGCAAGUUCAAUUUUUCAAUUCAUCUGGCAACUUUAACAGAGAUCCUCAGAAAGAAGUUCUGGAUAUUCAAAUGCUUACUAUAGAGAGGAUAUAAAUAGUUGGACUCUCUAAAAAGAUUAUUACAGGCAUUAUUUCUGAAGAUGGACACCUUUACCUUUGGCUUCUAGUGAGGAAGUAAACAUCAAAGUGAGAAGAAGUUUGAGGCAUUUCCUAUCUGCCUCUUCCCUUCCCUCCCAGGGGACAUGAAUGUCACACUGAUAUACUUCUG
rnacentral:lncRNA from 1 species